rnacentral:rRNA from 2 species
UUGACCUCAAAUCGGGUGAGACUACCCGCUGAACUUAAGCAUAUCAAUAAGCGGAGGAAAAGAAACUAACAAGGAUUCCCCUAGUAACUGCGAGUGAAGCGGGAAAAGCUCAAAUUUAAAAUCUGGUGGCCUUUGGUCAUCCGAGUUGUAAUUUAGAGAAGCGUCUUCCGCGCUGGACCGUGCACAAGUCUCCUGGAAUGGAGCGUCAUAGAGGGUGAGAAUCCCGUCUUUGGCACGGAUCCCGGUGCUUCUGUGAUGCGCUCUCGAAGAGUCGAGUUGUUUGGGAAUGCAGCUCAAAAUGGGUGGUGAACUCCAUCUAAAGCUAAAUAUUGGCGAGAGACCGAUAGCGAACAAGUACCGUGAGGGAAAGAUGAAAAGCACUUUGGAAAGAGAGUGAAACAGUACGUGAAAUUGUUGAAAGGGAAACGCUUGAAGUCAGUCGCGUCGUCCGAGACUCAGCCUCGCCUCGGCUUGGUGUACUUCUCGACCGACGGGUCAGCAUCAAUUUCACCCCUUGGAUAAUGGCGAGGGAAAUGUGGCACCUUUGCGGGUGCGUUAUAGUCCCUCGUCGCAUGCAAGGGUCGGGAUUGAGGAACUCAGCA